CAUUAGCCCUGAUGGAAAUGGAAAGCCUCGAGGAAAUAAACCUAUUUUUUCCUGGGCUGCAAGAGCGACCGGAGGAAGCUCCUUGCAGCACAAUGGAAAAAAAGGUUUAUGACCGAGAGCUUGUAAUGGACAGCAGGAAUCAGC
rnacentral:sRNA from 1 species